rnacentral:tRNA from 1 species
GAGGGUAUAGCUCAGUGGCAGAGCGCAUGCUUAGCAUACACAAGGUCCUGGGUUCAAUCCCCAGUACCUCCU